ACCAUGUGUAUGAUUGAGUAUAAGAACUUAAUUCGCAACCGGAUCUUAAAAGCCUAAGUAGUGUUUCCUUGUUAGAAGAUACAAAGCCAAAGACUCAUACGAAUUUUAGCUACACCAUCAAAGCUUUGAGAAGCAAGAAGAAGCUUGGUUAGUGUUUUGGAGUCAAAUAUGACUAGAUGUCAUAUGUAUGAGUGAGUAUAACAACUAGAAUCGCAACCGGAUCUUAAAAGCCUAAGUAUUGUAUCCUUGUUAGAAGAUAUAAUGAC
rnacentral:sRNA from 1 species